AAGCUCGUAGUUGAAUUUCGGGGUUAGUAGGUUGGUCAUGCCUCUGGUAUGUACUGGUCUCACUGAUUCCUCCUUCCUGAUGAACCGUAAUGCCAUUAAUUUGGUGUUGCGGGAAAUUUGGACUGUUACUUUGAAAAAAUUAGAGUGUUUAAAGCAAGCUAACGCUUGAAUACAUUAGCAUGGAAUAAUGAAAUAGGACGUUCGAUCCUAUUUUGUUGGUUUCUAGGAUUGACGUAAUGAUUAAUAGGGAUAGUUGGGGGCAUUAGUAUUCAAUUGUCAGAGGUGAAAUUCUUGGAUUUAUUGAAGACUAACUACUGCGAAAGCAUUUGCCAAGGAUGUUUUCAUUAAUCAAGAACGAAAGUUAGGGGAUCGAAGACGAUCAGAUACCGUCGUAGUCUUAACCAUAAACUAUGCCGACUAGGGAUCGGAUGAUGUUAAUUUUUUAAUGACUCAUUCGGCGCCUUACGGGAAACCAAAGUGUUUGGGUUCCGGGGGGAGUAUGGUCGCAAGGCUGAAACUUAAAGGAAUUGACGGAAGGGCACCACCAGGGGUGGAGCCUGCGGCUUAAUUUGACUCAACACGGGGAAA
rnacentral:rRNA from 1 species